UACGUAGGGUGCAAGCGUUGUCCGGAAUUAUUGGGCGUAAAGAGCUCGUAGGCGGCUCGUUAAGUCGGAUGUGAAAUCCCUGGGCUCAACCCAGGAAGUGCAUUCGAAACUGGCGAGCUUGAAUAUGGAAGAGGGUCGCGGAAUUCCCGGUGUAGAGGUGAAAUUCGUAGAUAUCGGGAGGAACACCAGUGGCGAAGGCGGCGACCUGGGCCAAUAUUGACGCUGAGGUGCGAAAGCGUGGGGAGCAAACAGG
rnacentral:rRNA from 1 species